rnacentral:rRNA from 1 species
AUUGAACGCUGGCGGCAGGCCUAACACAUGCAAGUCGAACGGAGCGGCGGACGGGUGCGUAAUGCCUAGGAAUCUGCCUGGUAGUGGGGGAUAACGUCCGGAAACGGGCGCUAAUGCCGAAUCCUAUCACAUGAGCCUAGGUCGGAUUAGCUAGAUGGUGGGGUAAAGGCAUACCAAGGCGACGAUCCGUAACUGGUCUGAGAGGAUGAUCAGUCACACUGGAACGGAGACACGGUCCAGACUCCGACGGGAGGCAGCAGUGGGGAAGAUUGGACAAUGGGCGAAAGCCUGAUCCAGCCAUGCCGCGUGUAUGAAGAAGGUCUUCGGAUUGUAAAGCACUUUAAGUUGGGAGGCGGUACCAACAGAAUAAGCACCGGCUAACUUCGUGCCAGCAGCCGCGGUAAUAC